rnacentral:rRNA from 1 species
UACAGAGGGUGCAAGCGUUAAUCGGAAUUACUGGGCGUAAAGCGAGCGUAGUCGGUUAUUUAAGUCGGAUGUGAAAUCCCCGGGCUCAACCUGGGAAUUGCAUUCGAUACUGGAUAGCUAGAGUUCGGCAGAGGGAUGCAGAAUUCCAGGUGUAGCGGUGAAAUGCGUAGAUAUCUGGAGGAAUACCGGUGGCGAAGGCGGCAUCCUGGACCGAGAUUGACGCUGAUGAGCGAAAGCUAGGGGAGCAAACGGG